GGUCUGGUCUGAGUGCAGUGGUGUUUACAACUGAUCAAUGACAACCAGUUAUAGAUUCCUUUGUACCUUCUCCACUCCCAGUGCUUCACUUGACUAACCUAAA
rnacentral:Y_RNA from 1 species